CGUGAAAUCCUGUCUGAAUAUGGGGGGACCAUCCUCCAAGGCUAAAUACUCCUGAAAGACCGAUAGUGAACAAGUACUGUGAAGGAAAGGUGAAAAGCACUUCGAAUAGAAGGGUGAAAUAGAACCUGAAACCGUACGCCUACAAGCGGUCGGAGCACCUAUAUGGUGUGACGGCGUGCCUUUUGCAUAAUGAGCCUACGAGUUAAUUUUACUAGCGAGGUUAAGGACUUCAGGUCCGGAGCCGGAGCGAAAGCGAGUCUGAAUAGGGCGCAUAGUUAGUAGGAUUAGACGCGAAACCUUGUGAUCUACCCAUGGGCAGGUUGAAGCUCUGGUAACACAGAGUGGAGGACCGAACCGGUUGACGUUGAAAAGUCUUCGGAUGACCUGUGGGUAGGGGUGAAAGGCCAAUCAAACUGGGAGAUAGCUCGUACUCCCCGAAAUGCAUUUAGGUGCAGCGUUGCGACAAGUUUAUUAGAGGUAGAGCUACUGAUUGGAUGCGGGGGUUUCAUCGCCUACCAAUUCCUGACAAACUCCGAAUGCUAAUAAAUGUUUCGCAGCAGUGAGGGCAUGGGUGCUAAGGUCCAUGUCCGAGAGGGAAAGAACCCAGACCAACAGCUAAGGUCCCCAAAUAUAUGCUAAGUUGAAACAACGCGGUUGGACUGCAUUGACAGCUAGGAUGUUGGCUUGGAAGCAGCCAUUCAUUUAAAGAGUGCGUAACAGCUCACUAGUCGAGCGGUCCGGCAUGGAUAAUAAUCGGGCAUAAGCAUAUUACCGAAGCUAUGGAUUUGUACAAUAGUACAUCUGGUAGGGGAGCAUUCUAUUUGCGCCGAAGCAGUAUCGCGAGGUAUUGUGGAGCGGAUAGAAAAGAAAAUGUAGGCAUAAGUAACGAUAAAGGGGGCGAGAAACCCCCUCACCGAAAGACUAAGGUUUCCUCAGCCAUGCUAAUCAGCUGAGGGUUAGUCGGGGCCUAACGCGAACCCGAAAGGGGUAGUGGAUGGACAACGGGUUAAUAUUCCCGUACCUGUAUAAUAAUAAAGUGACGGAGUUGGAAAUUAGGUGCGUACUGACGGAAUAGUACGUUGAAGUAACUGCGAGGUUACGAUAGUACAGCAAGUCUUCGGAUGCGCUGAUAAUCCUAAGGACCCGCUUCCAAGAAAAGCGAUUUAUACAGCCCGUACCAAAACCGACACAGGUAGUCGAGGAGAGAAUCCUAAGGUGCUCGAGUGAGUCGUGGCUAAGGAACUAGGCAAAAUAGUCUCGUAACUUCGGAAGAAGAGACGCCAGCAGUAAUGCUGGCCGCAGUGAAGAGGCCCAGGCGACUGUUUAUCAAAAACACAGGACUCUGCUAAAUCGAAAGAUGCUGUAUAGGGUCUGACACCUGCCCGGUGCUGGAAGGUUAAGGAAGGUGCUUAGAAGUAAUUCGAAGGCAUUGACUGAAGCCCCAGUAAACGGCGGCCGUAACUAUAACGGUCCUAAGGUAGCGAAAUUCCUUGUCGGGUAAGUUCCGACCUGCACGAAUGGUGUAACGAUCUGGGCACUGUCUCAGCCACGAGCUCGGUGAAAUUGUAGUAUCGGUGAAGAUGCCGAUUACCCGCAAUGGGACGAAAAGACCCUGUGAACCUUUACUAUAACUUCGUAUUGACUCUGAGUAAAUAAUGUGUAGGAUAGGUGGGAGGCUUUGAAGCAGGCACGCUAGUGUUUGUGGAGCCAACGUUGAAAUACCACCCUUUGUUUACUUGGAGCCUAACUUCGAAAGAAGGACAUUGCGUGGUGGGUAGUUUGACUGGGGUGGUCGCCUCCAAAAGAGUAACGGAGGCUUUCAAAGGUACCCUCAGCACGCUUGGUAACCGUGCGUAGAGUGUAAUGGCAUAAGGGUGCUUGACUGUGAGACCUACAAGUCGAUCAGGUGCGAAAGCAGGACAUAGUGAUCCGGUGGUUCCGUAUGGAAGGGCCAUCGCUCAUAGGAUAAAAGGUACUCCGGGGAUAACAGGCUAGUCUCCCCCAAGAGCUCACAUCGACGGGGAGGUUCGGCACCUCGAUGUCGGCUCGUCACAUCCUGGGGCUGGAGAAGGUCCCAAGGGUUG
rnacentral:rRNA from 1 species